GCCGGGCGCGGUGGCGCGCGCCUGUAAUCCCAGCUACUCGGGAGGCUGAGGCUGGAGGAUCGCUUGAGCCCAGGAGUUCUGGGCUGCAGUGCGCUAUGCCGAUCGGGUGUCCGCACUAAGUUCGGCAUCAAUAUGGUGACCUCCCGGGAGCGGGGGACCACCAGGUUGCCUAAGGAGGGGUGAACCGGCCCAGGUCGGAAACGGAGCAGGUCAAAACUCCCGUGCUGAUCAGUAGUGGGAUCGCGCCUGUGAAUAGCCACUGUACUCCAGCCUGGGCAACAUAGCGAGACCCUGUCUCUU
rnacentral:SRP_RNA from 1 species